rnacentral:rRNA from 1 species
GACGAACGCUGGCGGCGUGCUUAACACAUGCAAGUCGAGCGGAGCGGCGAACGGGUGAGUAAAGCGUGAGUAACUGCCCCCCUCUCUGGGAUAACAGUUGGAAAAGGCUGCUAAUACCGGAUAGUGGGGGAUGACUCGCGUCCUAUCAGCUUGUUGGUGGGGUAGGGGCCUACCAAGGCGACGACCGGUAGCCGGCCUGAGAGGGCGACCGGCCACAAUGCGCUGGGGUACGGCCCAAACGCCUACGUGAGGCAGCGGUGGGGAAUAUUGCACAAUGGCGGAAACCCUGAUGCAGAAACGCCGCGUGCGGAAUGACGGCCUUCGAGUGGUAAACCGCUUUCAGCCAUGACGCGGUAGUGGCAGAAGAAGCACCGGCUAACUACGUGCCAGCAGCCGCGGUAAUAC